UCCGGUUUGUCACCGGCAGUCUCCUUAGAGUUCCCGCCAUUACGCGCUGGCAACUAAGGACAAGGGUUGCGCUCGUUGCGGGACUUAACCCAACAUCUCACGACACGAGCUGACGACAGCCAUGCAGCACCUGUCUCACGGUUCCCGAAGGCACAUCCGCAUCUCUGCAGACUUCCGUGGAUGUCAAGGCCAGGUAAGGUUCUUCGCGUUGCAUCGAAUUAAUCCACAUCAUCCACCGCUUGUGCGGGUCCCCGUCAAUUCCUUUGAGUUUUAGCCUUGCGGCCGUACUCCCCAGGCGGGGCACUUAAUGCGUUAGCUUCGGCACGGCGGGAUUGGUACCCGCCAUACCAAGUCUUCAUCGUUUAGGGCUAGGACUAC
rnacentral:misc_RNA from 1 species